GAUGAAGAACGUAGCGAAAUGCGAUAAGUAGUGUGAAUUGCAGAAUUCAGUGAAUCAUCGAAUCUUUGAACGCACAUUGCGCCCCUUGGUAUUCCAUGGGGCAUGCCUGUUCGAGCGUCAUUUGUACCCUCAAGCUUUGCUUGGUGUUGGGCGUCUUGUCGUAUUACGACUCGCCUUAAAUACAUUGGCAGCCGGCACUUUGGCCUAGGAGCGCAGCACAUUUUGCGAUCGUAGCCCGUUGUACUGGCGUCCAUCAAGAACAUUUACCACGUUUGACCUCGGAUCAGGUAGGGAUACCCGCUGAACUUAAGCAUAUCGAUAAGCGGAGGA
rnacentral:misc_RNA from 1 species